UUGAACGCUGGCGGCAGGCCUAACACAUGCAAGUCGAGCGGCAGCGGAAGGGAGCUUGCUCUCUGGGUGACGAGCGGCGGACGGGUGAGUAAUGUCUGGGAAACUGCCUGAUGGAGGGGGAUAACUACUGGAAACGGUAGCUAAUACCGCAUAAUGUCGCAAGACCAAAGAGGGGGACCUUCGGGCCUCUUGCCAUCAGAUGUGCCCAGAUGGGAUUAGCUAGUAGGUGGGGUAAUGGCUCACCUAGGCGACGAUCCCUAGCUGGUCCGAGAGGAUGACCAGCCACACUGGAACUGAAACACGAUCCAGACUCCUACGGGAGGCAGAAGUGGGGAAUAUGGCACAAUGGGCGCAAGCCUGAUGCAGCCAUGCCGCGUGUGUGAAGAAGGCCUUCGGGUUGUAAAGCACUUUCAGCGAGGAGGAAGGUGGUGAGCUUAAUACGAUAAUCAAUUGACGUUACUCGCAGAAGAAGCACCGGCUAACUCCGUGCCAGCAGCCGCAGUAAAA
rnacentral:rRNA from 1 species